UAGCAGCACAUCAUGUUUUGCAGGUAUCUAAAAGCAACUCCAAAUCAUUAUGUGCUGCCGCU
ensembl:miRNA